AACAUUGAAUAUUAUUUGAUAUUAUUCUAUCAGGUUCUUAUGGUUUUAGAUCAUUUUAGUUGUUGUACAAAGAUUAAUUUAACAUUUUCUCUGGAAGUAUUAAUUUAGAAAGAUAAUAUGCCUCAUUGGUGUUGUGUUUUGAAGUGUGAAAUGCAAAGUAAUCGUGAUAAAGUUAGCUUUUACCACUUACCAUCAGUGCUACAUUCUAAGCACAAAACUCAACCAAUUUAACUAAAUAAGUUAUAGUUAUCAUCUGAGAGACAACAACAAUGGUAAAAUGCAAUAAAAUAUUAAGAUUUUACUAGCAAAAUGGAAAUUCCCCUGUAAUCAUCUUAUAUCUGGUAAGUUACAACAUUUGAACAUUAACCAUUUUUGAAGAUGUUAACAGUCUAAUCUUGUAGGAAAACCAGCCGACUUAACUGAUAAUAACAAUCCAGAUUGGGUUCCUUCAAUACAUAUGGGGUAUAUAAACACAAUGAAAUGAGUUCCCCAAAAUCUAAAAUGGGAAUUAAGGUACCAAAGGAGAAUUAAAAGAAAAGGGUACCUACAAGAAAAAAUUGCUUUUUUAUUCCUCUUGAAAUGAUUUAUAAGACACUGGACUGUCUUAUAUUCUACAAAUACUAGAAUCAGCUGAGAGAAGUGGUCUACAAAAACCCAGGAAGGAAACGGAAUAUGUGGCUACGAAAGGCAAAAGAAAGGUUUACAAAGCAAAUGUGACACAUUUUUUUGAAAUAUUUAGGAAUAUCAGUAAAUUGCAUUAAAAAAAUGUAUGAAAAGAUUUUGUUCAAUAAAAAUGUUUAUAUUUA
rnacentral:lncRNA from 1 species